CAGAACAAAGUUAUCAAGAGGAGUUGAAGGUCGUGUUUGAACACUUCAGCGGUUUAAAAAUGCUGGAAAAACUGUAAAAAGUUACCGGAGGCUCCAAAUCGUGCCACAACUAGUACUUAUUAAAUAAUUUGUUGAUGCGACGAAGGGGAGUGGUUGGUUCGAAGAAAUUUUGCACAUUGGUUUGGUUCACGUAUUUGUUGAAAAAAAUUUAUAUUUCAAAAAAUGUUUUCAAAUCACUCUUGAAACAACAUUUUAAAAUUUUUUUGAAUUUUCAAAAAUUUGUCAAAAAUUUAAAAAUGAACGUCAGGAAUUGAAAUUAUAGUUACGAUAGUUAGUUGUAGUGCAGGGCAUGCUUGAAUAACUUGAAAAAAUAGUUAAGCACGUAUACAAAUUACGUGAGCUGGGUCUACGAAAAAUGAUCAAAUCGUUUGUCUGAAAAAAAUUCUGUUCGGUUUAAACACAGCACAAAGGCAAAAAAAAUCCAUAAUAACGCCGUUUAAGUUAGCCUAUGCAACCUUGAAAUCAGCUGCGAAAAACAACCCCUAACAUCGGCGACUGGUCGACGCCAAACAUCGAACUUCUACAGACCAUAUCGACUAUCGUAUGCAACGAAAUUCUGUUUUUAUGAAUUUCGGCUAUAUAUAAGAACAACGUGAAAAGUCUCGUUUGAUGGAAUUUUUAUCAUAAUUUCGUUUUAUCUUCAUCGCAGAAAAGAAUGAGUUCAAUUUUUUAUUCUGCCAAUUUCAACGUAGGUACCUAUGAAAUGAAAUAAUUUGAAAUGUGAAUUUGUUUCUUGUUCGUAACAUUUUCCAACUGUGACAGAGGGAAACUGCAUAUUCUGUAUAUGGGAUGGAUAUCGAGAGGAAUUGAUGGAAUGUUAUACCUACUUAUACGCUCCUUGCCAAUUGAGCUGGAAUGCACGAAUAUCGAACCUGCAUUACUGUUUGUGACACGUACCAAUUUCCCCCUUGAUUUUCGCAUUGAAGACUGAUCUACAAAGAAAAAGGAUUACUAAUGGAGAUCUUCAAAUUUAUUAUUUUAACAUGGCUCACCAGCUUCAUACCUGCAGCAUAUUGUCAAAUGGGAAACUCUAGCUCAGAUUUGAUUUGCAACAUCACCAUCUUCAAAGAGGAUGGCACUUAUCCUGGAGCUGUAAUAGACGUGUGGCAAUCACAAAUGAUAGACACGUGCCUCGAAAAUUACACAGAAGAAGACAUUAUUACAAGUUGCGAGCGUUUGAACAAUUUAAAGAGCGCUGAUCCGGAUUUAUUUAUUCCGAUAACAAACAACAUUACUAACAUAACUUACACAAAUAAAUAUUGCGGGUAUUGUAACAACGACAAUGAAACGAAUUGGAAGUGGAGUUACUGGAAUUCUUGGACAACGUUUAGAUUUUUGAAAGACCCAUGCAGUAAAUACACAUCAAAAAUAAAAGCAUCAGAAGUUAAUGACCUUGACAAAUGGACUGAGACUUUCCUCAGUGACGGGAUGAUAUUGGAAGCCACUUCUUAUCUCAGAAAAUUGCAGUGCUCUGGAAAACAAAACUGGUCAAUUAACUUGAUAAAGGUUGUGAUUCCAUGUUUAGUGGAAAAUUAUUUGUAUGGUCAAUACGACAGAUUGAUUUCGUGCCAAUAUUAUGAGAAAAAUGGUCGAAGUUGUACUCACAUGGAGUUCCUCAUCGAUGGAUACUCUUUUCAAUAUCGUGAAAAGAACAAGUUUUAUCGUCACUUAUCAGAAAUAAAUCUUACUGGAGGUGACUAUAUCGUCGAAACUCAGAAAGAUGAUGUAUUUUAUAUGUGUAGACAAAUUUACCACGCUGCAUAUUGGGGUAAACUUGUUCGCAUCGGUAUUUCCAUAGUAUCUCUAUUUAUUUAUUUAUUCGUGAAUUUCGAAAAGCAAUAUUUUGAGAUUUUCUCAAACCAACUUUUGUAUAUUUAUUCGAUAGGAUUGAUAGUAAUGUGUGUUCUGUUUACCUACAUCUAUUUACAAUUCCCAGUCUCAGACGUUUCCUUCAACGUUGCUAAAAUUUUUUGGGGUUAUCACUCGUCCUGGACGAUCAUAAUUUUUAUUGUAUUUUGUAAUACAGCUUUAUGCAUGUGCAACCGAUGCGAAAGUAUAGCUGAAGGGAAUACAAAUGGAUACUAUUCAGUGUUUAUUUUCGUUUUUGGCCUCUUAUUACCUUUUUUCUUACCCAUAAUGUAUCUCAGGUACUUAGAAACCAAUGAAAAUCAGUGUCCCUCAAUUCCCAGUCAUUUGGCUGUGCCGGACGAUCGUAGUCAAAUUUUAUGGUUUUUUGAAUUCAUCUUGGACCCAAACUUGGCUUUCUUAAUGCCUACAGUAUUUGUGGUGGGAAUAUUUUGCAUACUGGUUGAUGUGUCUCGUGACUCUGAUGCAAGGAACACGAUGAAUUCUCCUGUUACUUUAUUAAAAAUGGAAUUGAUUAUGGGUAUUCAUUGGGUACUGUACAAACUUUGUUUGGGGUAUUAUGGGAAUGAGAAUUCGUACACUGUUAUUGGCCUAUCCAUAGAUAUGGAUACGAUAGCACAGUUGAGCAUUGAUAUUCAUGGUGUGCUUGUAUUUUUCGUUUUAAUAAAUGAAAAUAGCAUUAAUGGCAUUUUGAACAAGUUUGGAUAUAGACGAGGAAAUACUAUUCAACAGAACAGUUAUGGUGCGACAGAGACAACUGUACGAUAUCAGUUUUGAAACGUUUUAAUAUUGUCAGAAGAAUAUUUUACGUAGGUAUUGCUUCGUUAGGUACUAUAUUUUAUUUGAAAUAAAAAUGCAAUACCUGUGAGUGUGAGGAUGAAAAGUAGACAAAAUUUUAUACUUUUACACGUAAAAAUUUUUCAAACAAAAAUUUUUGUAUCCUUUUUGUUAUUUGCAAAAUUGAGUUUGGAGCCAUCUUUGCGCCUCAAAAAGUUCAAUAACUCAAAUAGUCAACAUUUACCAUUUUUGCAGUUUAGAUGAAAAAUAUUGGCAAUAAUGAAAAAUUUGUAAUUGGCAUAAUUGAAGAGUGGUUUUCCAAAAGGGAAUAAAUCAUUUUUUUUUGAAAAUCAAGUUUUUCACGCCAUUGUGUUCUAUACAGGGUGCCAAGAAAUAUCGUGAACCCCGAAGAAAGUUUUUUUUUUUUAUUAAAAAUAUAGGUUGGCAAUGCGAAAUGGAUGCGUGUAUGAUUGGUGGAAUGUUAUCACCUCAGUCUAACAACCAAUCAUGCGCUAUCAUUAUUAUCAUUCACUGUGAUGAACCAAAACAUUUGGCAGAAAACUUUUUUAGGGGUUCACGAUAGUUCUGGACACCCUGUAGGUUGUAUCUCACCUAUUUAUAAUGCCUUACCUACCCAAAAUACCUAUUUAUUUACGCGCAAUACAGCUUUUCUGUAAGUUUGCAGAUUGCAAUUGUUUUUCCAAGAUGCAAUAAGUCAUGAUUACUCUGUUUUCAUUAAUUUUAUAGCGAAAGUAGAGCUGUGAACAAUGUUUUUUUUUAAUAGAUAUUAUUACUGUAAUACUUUAUUUUCAUUUUUAUUGUCAAAAUGGAGGUAAAUUUUUUUAAAAUGAUAGUGCUGUAGAUAAUACUUAAUUUUUGUAAAUUUUAUCUCCAAAAUAGAGGUAAAAAAUUUUUUUCAAUUGAAAAUUUUCUUUUUCUAAAUCCAUAGUACUGUAGUACUUGAUCAUUUUGUUAAUUUUAGUGCUAAAAUAGAGGUGAAAUUUUUUUUGGCAGGUAAUUUUGUUGUCGAAAUAGUGGUAAAAUUUUUUGUUUUACUUGAUCGAAAAUCUUUUUUUCAAUCAAUAGUACCUACUGUAAUGCUCAAUUUUUGUCAAUUUUAUUGUCAAAAUGGAGGUAAAAAAUUUUUUUAAUCAAAAUUUUUUUGGGAAUUUUAUUGCCAAAAUGGUGGUAAGUAAACAUUGUUUUUAAAUCGGUACUACUGUAAUACUUGAUUAUUUUGUCAAUUUUAUUGCUAAAAUGGAGGAAAAAUUUUUUUUGAUUGAAAUUUUAAAUAGUGGUAAGAUUUUCUGUUUCAAUCAAAAAUCAUUUUUUUCAAUCAAUAGUAGGUACUAGAGCUGAAAACGGUACUCGCUGACAGCGGGUAACUGUCGUAUCCGUAUCAUAAAUUCUCGCUACUCACUAGUAGCAGGUAGCUAGUUGAAAAAAUGUCGCACCAGUUCACGAUAUAACUAGUAGCGCAUUGAAUGCGUAGCCGGUGUACUGGCAUGACAUCAUCAUUGUCAUCAAUCAUGUCAAACGCCAAUCACACAUACGAACGACAGGUGUCGAAGCGUAACUCCUCCCACUUACACAUUAUCAAAUUUUGGGGUGCGUGCGCAGACCAAGUGCGAAAACAUUCGGGUUAUACUCGCUAUACGCUACUAUCUAUAUCCGAAUCAACCCGAUACAACCACUAGCGGGUUUAGCCGGUAUUUUAACCAGAUACCAGUUAGCGGGUAGCAUAACCGUUUUCAGCUCCAGUAGGUACCUACUGUAAUGUUUGAUUUUUUUUCAAUUUUAUUGCCAAAAUGAAAGUGAAACAUUUUUUUUUGAUCAACAAUUUUUUGUCAUGGUAAUUUUGUUGCCAAAAUAGUGGUAAAAUUUUUUGUUUUACUUAAUCAAAAAUCUUUUUUUUUCAAUUAAUAGUACCUACUGUAAUGCUCAAUUUUUGUCAAUUUUAUUUUAAUUUUCAUCACCAAAAUGGAGGUAAAAAAUUUUUUGUAAUCAAAAUUUUUUUGGUAAUUUUAUUGCUGAAAUAGUGGUAAGAAUUUUUUUUAUUCAAAAACUUUUUCUUCUUAUUUUUGUUGUCUCGAGAAAUUAUUAUUUUUUCGCUUGUAUGGGUUUCUAGCCAAAGGAAGUAUAGCUUGAUGAGGGGGCUGCCCUUUGAGCCGUCAAGCUGACUUUCCCAAAGUUCGGUUAUAGCACCGAAUUCUUGACCAGAUGGGCUGAACAGCUCACCGGAUCAAAGUUCAAUGAUGAUGAUGAUCUUUUUUUUCAAUCAAUAGUAUUGUAAUACUUAAUUUUUGUUAAAAAUACAGGUAAAAUUUUUGAUAA